rnacentral:sRNA from 1 species
AACAGAGUGCGGCGCCUGCAGCAGAGUGAGGCCAAGCACUCCUCCUGGCUCCUACAGCCAGGCCUCCUUGCUGGCCGCCAGGUAGGUCACCGCGCGGGUCCGGGAGCCAGGCACGGGACCCGCCAGCUUCAGCCUCCAGGGCCUGGGCGGGCCGCCAGGUGAGCGCGCCCCAGAGCUCAAAAUUCGUAGCUGGCUGCCCUGCGUCCACCCGGCGGACUACUGGCCAUGGAGCCGCGCACAGGGGACGCCGCGGACCCUAGGGGGAGCAGAGGAGGUACAGGGAUUGGGGUCGUUGGGGAAGGACAGGGCGAGUCGCCGCCACCCCCGUCCCGCCUGUCUGCUCCACACCUUUUCCUUCUGACAGGUGGUAAACAGAGCGGCUCUGGGGCCCAAGUGGCGGUGGCAGGGGGCAGGGGCCCAGCGAUGGAGGCUGGGCUGGAGGUCCCCUACCCACACCCACACACGAGGGAAAGGGCCGCGCACCAGAGCAGGGGAGGGGCUCUCAGGAGUCUCCAGGGAGACGUGCAGAUGUGCGGGGAGGGGUCUGCCCGUGGUCACUGGGGACACCUGGGCACUCAGGGUCUAUAGUGAACUGGGGGGAGGGGAGCUGGGGGCCCCUGGGGACCUGUGGAGGGGGACUCUGGAGGUAUGUGGGCCAUGGGGGAACGGGCCCUCUGAGGGAAUUCAUGGGGGUAGCAGGGGUUGCCUAGGAUACUUAGACGGGGAAUUGGGGGUUCCGGGGCUAUGGGGUCAGGCCGUGUUCUCCCAGGAUAUCUGGGGAAAUGGGGUCCCCUGAGAUAUCGCGGGCGAAGAGUUGGGCAUCCAGGGUGAUUAGGGGGCAGUCGAGGACCUCACGGGGUGUUCGGAGGUGUCCAGGACUAUUGCAGUCAAACAGCGAUCUCCAGGGACACCGUGGGAGCAAGCGGGGGUGCACCGGCUACCCGCGACGGUCGGGGAUCGCGUGAGGGGAGGGCCAGCAGUGACCUCCGAAACUAUCGAGGGAGUGGCCAGGGGUCGCCGGGUAUCCUGAGGGGCAUUUCUAGGUCUUCGAGCGUCCGGAAGCAUGGGGGUUGGCCGAGGCCGAUGGUCGGCGUUGACCUGUCCCCUCUUGCGCGCAGGCCGCGGCCCCUCCCCGCUCGCGGGCCCUAGCGCCCGGCAGCUCCUGGCGCGGUUGGACGCGCGCCCCCUGGCGGCGCGAGCUGCGGUCGACGUGGCAGCGCUGGUACGCAAGGCGGGCGCCACAUUGCGCCUGCGCCGGAAGGAGGCUGUUAGCAUGCUGGACUCUGCGGACAUAGAGGUCACAGACAGUCGCCUGCCUCAUGCCACUAUUGUGGAUCACCGGCCCCAGGUACCAUCUCAUCCUUCUAUCGGAGGCCACCUGCCUCAGGGCAAACUAUGUACACCUGUGUCCUUUAUUCCAGCACCGUUGGUUAGAGACAUGUAACGAGCCUCCCCAAGUGAUCCAGGGUAAGGCACGUAGUGCUCCGAAGCCAUCCCAGGCUUCUGGUCAUUUCUCUGUGGAGCUGGUCCGCGGUUACGCAGGCUUUGGCCUCACCUUAGGUGGGGGCCGGGAUGUAGCUGGGGACACUCCGCUGGCCGUGCGCGGGCUGCUGAAGGAUGGCCCAGCACAGCGCUGUGGUCGUUUGGAGGUCGGGGACCUCGUGCUCCACAUCAACGGAGAGUCAACGCAGGGCCUCACCCAUGCCCAGGCCGUGGAGCGGAUCCGAGCUGGAGGCCCCCAGCUCCACCUAGUUAUUCGUCGGCCUCUGGAGACCCACCCUGGCAAGCCUCGAGGGGUGGGAGAGCCCCGAAAAGGAGUUGAUCGCAGCCCAGAUCCUGGAGGGCCGGAGGUAACGGGGUCUCGCAGCAGCAGCACUUCCCUAGUUCAGCACCCUCCAUCCCGGACGACGCUCAAGAAGACCCGGGGCAGCCCGGAGCCUAGUCCAGAGGCGGCCGCCGAUGGCCCCACGGUUUCUCCUCCUGAGCGCCGCGCUGAGGAUCCCAACGACCAGAUCCCGGGUUCCCCGGGGCCCUGGCUGGUGCCCAGCGAGGAACGGCUCUCGCGGGCCCUAGGGGUCCGGGGGGCAGCGCAGCUCGCUCAGGAGAUGGCAGCCGGAAGGCGGAGACACUGAGCCUACCUCUGACAGCGCGGGGCUCACUAGUUACCGCCCAACCUGGAUCCGGCGCGUGUGGCCGCUGGGCACUUGGCACCUCCCCAAGAGCUUCCACUUGGUUUGGUCCCCCCACCCGCUGCUCAGUGGCUCUGCCCACACUCCCCUCGCAGCGUCAGUGGUACGACCCUUCCAGCCGGCUAGCCUGCGCUUCUGGUUCUGGGAGGGGGAGGUAAUAAAAUGGUUCGAUCCGG